UGAUUUAUAAUUAAUCGUUGUCAUCUCCACUUCUUGACUUUUAAUCUGAUUUUUCACCCCACUUUUCCCUUAAACAUCCGAUGAACAUUUUUUGAUUUAACGGCCUAAUAGUUGAUACCAUAAAGUAUAACUGGUCUAAUAAUAUUUGGAACUUUUCUUUUAACCAUUUGGAUAUCUUCUUAUCCUUUGAAGAACCGAUACUCCUCCUAGGGUGAAGUGUCAGUGACCGACUUGCAUUGAACACUCGCAAUGAUUGGACACUUGUCUGUCACACCACAUGGCCCGUGUCAUAUUUUUUAAUAUAUUAGUUCUAAAUAUUAUCGUAGAAGGAAAACACUUUGCUAACAUCUUCAAGUGAUCAGCAUAAUUCACACUGUCUGGAACAAUGGUUGUUUUAGUCAGUUAGUAUGUGCAUUUUCUGGCUUUGGUCAAAUCUCACUAGUAUUUGAAGCCUUCUAAGCAAACAGAUUAAUUACUUUUCUGCAACUAAUGGGUAUGAAUACUCAUUAUAAUGCAGGUUGUUUUCACCAUUGAUUGUGAUUUUCUUUUAGUGCUGCAGUUCAUUUAAGUGAAGGAUUACUGUAGAUUUUGGUAGAACUGAUGGGUUUUGUCAUGAUAAUUAGUCUUUUGUUUCAAUUGCAGGUUAAAGCUCUGAUUUCUAAGUUGAGUGAGGAGAAAAAUACUGCAAUUCAGCAAAAUAACAAGCUUAAGCAAGAAGUGGAGCUCUUGAGGCGUCAAGGUAACCGGAGCCAUGGAGGCAUCCCAUUCAUCUAUGUUAUUAUUGUUGGCUUGAUUGGCAUCCUUUUGGGGUAUCUUCUGAAGAGAACAUGAAUAACAUUACAAUCAAGUCAUCGUCCAACUGUGAAAAAAAAUGUUUUUAAGACAUUGAAGUCAAAUAUGUGACGGAUUGAGAAGAGCUUUGUAUUCUAUUUGGUUGUUUCGUUGACAGCAGGGACAAAUGCUGACAUGGGUUUUGACGGGUUCCGUAAUUCACUUUGAUGAGGAGGCUUCAAGAGCAUUGAUUAUGUGACUAAUUGCUUUUAUAUGUUCAUUUCUUUAACUUGUGAACAUUAUUUAUUCAACUAGCCUAAUUUUCCUCUUGAUUUUCUUGUUCCAGUUAUUGGACAAUUAUGUGUUCUGUUC